GCCAGCAUGGCAUAGUGGUUUGAGGGUUGGACUACGAUUCUGGAGACUAGGGUUCAAUUCCCAGCUCGGCCA